CUCGUGUGCGCAGGAGGAGGCCCACGCGUGUCGAACAACAAACCAACGCAGCGCGCACACGUACAUUGGCGCACAAAAGGCGCCUCUGGAGUCUGCUGCGGAUGCACCUUUGUUUUUGUUUUGCGCUACCUCUCUCGCUGUUCUGACGGGGCCGUGGGUGUAGAUUAGCUUAGCUGAGCUGGCCCCUCCCGCCGCCACCACCCCACCAUCAACACCACGGGACACAGCGAUCCAUGCACUUUCCGUCUUUCGGAUCUCCACCGCCGUCCUUGCCGCUCGCUUUCGCUCUUUUCUAUUCGUUUCGCGGUCCGUUCUGACUGCUUCCUCGGCGAUCCACUCCGGUCCCUCUAUCGUGAUGCGUCGUCGGCCAGCGCAGCUGACCGCGACAAAACUGGCAGACGAGGAGGUGCCUGAGCUGACCUUGGUGCCAGACGGCGUCUCUCGAUGGACUGGCGCGGACCUCGACGCUCUGCGCAAUGCUGCUCGCCGCGGCGGUGCGGAAGCGGCGCAGCAGGACCUGGAGCGCAAGCUGUGCCGCACUAUCGAUAUCCUCGGCGCCCGUAGCCAGCAGGCGCAGGAGAUCAACACUGUGCUCACCUCUGUGGCGCGACUCCGGGAGAACAGCACCUUCCGACUCUACUUGCUUACCCAGAACCACCGCGGUGUCGGCAUUCUGAAGGUGGGCGUGAAGAAGCUGUUCGUGACGCACCCCGUUACCUGUGGCCUGGUGGAGGUGGACCCCCUCUGCGUGCUGGACUUCUACGUGGACGAGAGUUGCCAGCGGCAAGGAUACGGGAAGACGCUUUACUCGCACAUGCUCAAGGCGGAGCACGUGUCCAGGCCCGAGGUGCUGGCCAUUGACCGCCCCAGCAACAAGCUGCUCGGCUUCCUCAGGAAGCACUACGGACUCGCCGCGUACACGCCGCAGGUAAACAACUUCGUCGUUUUUCACAGCUUUUUCGACCACACCACCGUGUCUGAGCGCGGCAAGCUACUGCGGGCGCCGUCUCCUGCGCGCGCAUUACCGUUUUCGUCCUCAACGAAUGCUACCGCUGCCAUCGGCGGCGCAAAAGCAAAAAACUGGGCGCCCGGGUAGACACUGGUAUGGCAGCGCCCUCACCAGCUGCCGGCGCUGCUGCUGCUGCUGCCUUCAGCACUCCUGGUCUACCCGGGCUUCCACUGCUGGCGUCGCCACCACUGCAUGGACUCGGUCUUGCGUCACCGGCUCUGCUGCCGCGAGAAGGCCGUGCGCUGCGUAACGUUUAUCCGACAUGUCCUGCGCGCUUGCCCUCGCUCAUGCCUCUGGGGGUGUCGGCGCCGACAUCGGCAAAGGGCGGCCCACCUACGCCGUUGUCACUGCUGCCACCGUCGCCAUCUUGCUACGAGGUCGCCCCUCAAGACAGGAUCACGCACAUCAGAAUGUCGCCGACGCCCAGUGUCAGUCACGAUGCCUCUAUCAGAGGACCUGCCUAUGCCCGCGCUGCGCCGUCGCCUCCGUCACCGCUGCGUCGUGCCGUGCCACCGGGCUGCCGCGGAGCAAGGUGGAACGGGCUAGCGUUGGCACCCUCUGACGGCGUAGGCUGUCGCGACGACCGCAGCAGCGAUUCCAACGAGCGCGAAGCGGUGUGGACACCGGCUACUCACACGCCGGCAACGUACCGCCGAGGUGCUCCGUACAACAUCAUCAGCAACCUACCCUGAUGCCGACCGGAGACUGUGGGCACAUGCCUCCAGAGGGUGGGUGGUAGUGAGGAGGAACAUGCGCGGUAUGUGCGUGUGCGUGUGCGCUGGAUGGAGGAUCGCCGAGCAUGAGAUCUCCUAUACGUGACUGAUGUGUGCGUAUGUGUGUGUGUGUGUGCGUUGUGUGUGUUGUAUGUAUGCCUUCUACCCUCGCCCUUUUCUCUUCCUCACCGUUUUCGG
rnacentral:misc_RNA from 1 species